UACAGAGGUCUCAAGCGUUGUUCGGAUUCAUUGGGCGUAAAGGGUGCGUAGGCGGCGCGGUAAGUCGGGUGUGAAAUCUCGGAGCUUAACUCCGAAACUGCAUUCGAUACUGCCGUGCUUGAGGACUGGAGAGGAGACUGGAAUUUACGGUGUAGCGGUGAAAUGCGUAGAUAUCGGGAGGAACACCUGUGGCGAAGGCGGCCCCCUGGUUGGAUACUGACGCUGAGACGCGAAAGCGUGGGGAGCAAACAGG
rnacentral:rRNA from 1 species